AGCUUGCUUCUCUGAUGUUAGCGGCGGACGGGUGAGUAACACGUGGAUAACCUACCUAUAAGACUGGGAUAACUUCGGGAAACCGGAGCUAAUACCGGAUAAUAUUUUGAACCGCAUGGUUCAAAAGUGAAAGACGGUCUUGCUGUCACUUAUAGAUGGAUCCGCGCUGCAUUAGCUAGUUGGUAAGGUAACGGCUUACCAAGGCAACGAUGCAUAGCCGACCUGAGAGGGUGAUCGGCCACACUGGAACUGAGACGCGGUCCAGACUCCUACGGGAGGCAGCAGUAGGGAAUCUUCCGCAAUGGGCGAAAGCCUGACGGAGCAACGCCGCGUGAGUGAUGAAGGUCUUCGGAUCGUAAAACUCUGUUAUUAGGGAAGGACAUAUGUGUAAGUAACUGUGCACAUCUUGACGGUACCUAAUCAGAAAGCCACGGCUAACUACGUGCCAGCAGCCGCGGUAAUACGUAGGUGGCAAGCGUUAUCCGGAAUUAUUGGGCGUAAAGCGCGCGUAGGCGGUUUUUUAAGUCUGAUGUGAAAGCCCACGGCUCAACCGUGGAGGGUCAUUGGAAACUGGAAAACUUGAGUGCAGAAGAGGAAAGUGGAAUUCCAUGUGUAGCGGUGAAAUGCGCAGAGAUAUGGAGGAACACCAGUGGCGAAGGCGACUUUCUGGUCUGUAACUGACGCUGAUGUGCGAAAGCGUGGGGAUCAAACAGGAUUAGA
rnacentral:rRNA from 1 species